GAUGAACGCUGGCGGCGUGCCUAAUACAUGCAAGUCGAACGAACAGACUCGUAGCUUGCUCCUCUGACGUUAGCGGCGGACGUGUGAGUAACACGUGGAUAACCUACUUAUCAGACUGGUAUAACUUCGGGAAUCCGUAGCUAAUACCGUAUAAUAUAUUUAACCGCAUGGUUCAAUAGAGUAAUACGGUUUUGCUUUAACUCAUAGCUUGUUCCGGGCCGCAUUGGCUAGUUGGUUAGGUAACGGCGUACCAAGGCAACGAUUCGUAGCCUACAUGAGAGGGUGGGCGGCCGCACUGGAACGGAGAAACGGUACAGACUCCUACGGGAGGCAGCAGUAGGGAAACGUGCGCAAGGGGCGGAAGACUGAGGGAGAAACGCCGAGGGAGGGAGGAGGGUCUUCGGGUCGGAAAACACGGUUAUUAGGGAAGAACAAAUGUGUAAGAAACAAUGCGCGUAUUGAAGGUACCUAGGCAGAAAGGCACGGCUAAAUAAGGG
rnacentral:rRNA from 1 species